AUUGAACGCUGGCGGCAGGCCUAACACAUGCAAGUCGAACGAGUGGCGGACGGGUGAGUACUGUCUGGGAAACUGCCUGAUGGAGGGGGAUAACUACUGAAAACGGUAGCUAAUACCGCAUACCAUCGGAUGUGCCCAACUGGGAUUAGCUAGUAGGUGGGGGAAAGGAUCACCUAGGCGACCAUCCCUAGCUGGUCUGAGAGGAUGACCAGACACAUUGGAACUGAUACACGGUCCAGAUUCCUACGGGAGGUAGCAGUGGGGAAUAUGGCACAAUGGGCUCAAGCCUUAUGCAGCCAUGCCGCGUGUAUGAAGAAGGCCUUCGGGUGGUAAAGUACUUUCCGCGGGGAGGCGUUACCCGGAGAAGAAGCACCGGCUAACUCCGUACCAGCCGCCGCGGUAAUAC
rnacentral:rRNA from 1 species